rnacentral:rRNA from 1 species
ACUCAAAUGAAUAGACGGGGACCCGCACAACCGGUGGAGCGUGUGGUUCAAUUCGAGACAAAACGAAGGACCUCACCAGGGUUUGACAUGAUACCGUUUUAAGCUCCUGGAAACAGGAGCCUAUCCGCAAGGAUGGUACCACAGGUGCUGCAUGGCUGUCGUCAGCUCGUGCCGUGAGGUGUUCCCUUAAGUGGGGAAACGAGCGCAACCCCCGUGUAAUGUUAAAUAUUCAUUACAGACGGUCCCAGUUUUACUGGGAAGGAAGGAGGGGAAGACGUCAAGUCAGCACGGCCCUUAUACCCUGGGCCACACACACACUACAAUGGCGAAAAACAAUGGGUUGCAAGCUAGCAAUAGCAAGCUAAUCCCUUAAAUUUCGCCUCAGUUCAGAUUGGAGUCUGAAACUCGACUCCAUGAAGUCGGAAUCGGUAGUAAUCGCGGAUCAGCGUGCCGCGGUGAAUACGUUCUCGGGUCUUGUACACACCGCCCGU